GUCUGUGGCCAUGCCACCCUGAAUGUGCCUGAUCUCGUCUGAUCUCAGAAGCUAAGCAGGGUUUGGCCUGGUUAGUACUUGGAUGGGAGACAACCUAGAAAUACCAGGUGCUGUAGGCG
rnacentral:rRNA from 1 species